AAUCUACCUGUUCCAGUGCGGACCGAACCGGCCAAACAUUUGGGAGAUCGGCCAGCCUGCUUAAAUUCUGUUCCACGCAAUCCACUUCAAAGGCUUCUUUCUUGUGGAACCAUCUUCUACAUUCAGUCGAGGAGAACGACGCCCUCAAUAUAAAGUUGCCACUGCAAUGUCAGUGUCAGAGCACAUCGAACGGGGGAGCAAGAUGCAAGCUGUCAAGUUCAGGCUUUCAAGGUGCUGGAGGCAAGGAACUGGAGGACCCAUGUGCAGGGAAGCAGGGAGGCAAGACAGAAGUGCAGGAGUCUCAAAAAUGAUACUUCAUUCUAAAAAGGCGACGAGGCCAUCUUGUCAGGAUGCCUCCCGGGUGAGGCGUUGUCCCAUUGCGAAGAUCCAGGACACGCUGAAGCAGGUCAGGCUGGGGGAGGCCA